rnacentral:lncRNA from 1 species
CCUCUCGCCACUCACCAUUAACAUGUCUUCCAUCACCUUCUCCCCCACACUUCACUCACCUAAACUUUCCAUUCCAUUUUCACUAAACUCACUUACCACCUCCAUAUUUUUUCACUUCAUACAACCUAUAAACAACACCCCUAACCCAAACAUCUUCAACCAUCCACAUACAAAGUAACCUUUCAGCAUUAAUCUCUCUCAUUUUCUAUAAGAAAAAAACGUAAGUAGCCCACAAACCUUAUCCUAUUUGACUCUCAUGAGGCUCCACCAAACCACAUUUAUUUCCUUUUCAUCCACCAAAACCCAGUUUCCAUCUUCAACACCACUAACCAUUUGCCCCCCACAUCCAUACAACAACAUAAACAACUUCGCCCACACGUAAACAACAAGAACAAAUAGCGCCCGCCCUCCCUUUGACCACUCUCUCACCAUCGUUUUGAAAAAGUAGAAAGAAAAAAAGGGAAAGAAAAAAAUAUAUUUCUUUCCUACUAUUUCCAUCCCUCUCCAGCAUUGACAUAACAACACACAACUAAGAAUAUUUUCCCCACUCUCACUUCACGCAUCCACUAUAAUAACCACCUGCAUUUUUUUCUCAAUGAAACCCUCUUUUCGCAUAGCUUCGCAACACCUCCUGCAAAACUCUUCACCGCUGGCGGAAUCUCAUUCUCUCCAACCCUACAUGAAUGGUACUCCUUCAUCAUCCUUUUCUCACAUUGCAAACUUCACAACAACAAUCCAGUCGACCGUGUUCUCUACGUCAUAACCAUCAACGCAACCGAAAAUUUCCGAUCUGUUUUUUUUUGUUCAUCGUCGUUGCCG